UGUGGAGAACUCUAUCUUGUGUUUCUAGUAUCUUUGCUGAAAAUUAUGAAUAAUAUGGCACCAGGUAGAAAAACAGCAGCCAAAUGGGAGAAGGUGCUUUACAAGAAACAAGAUUUUCCAGAUAACUAUGUUGACAAGAGUUUCCUACAUGAAAUGAAGAAAAAUGUGAACAUUAAGACAUAUGAGUACUGGAAUGUUGUAUUGGAAACAGGGAUGGUAACACAGCAACUGAGCAGUGUGUCAAUAUUUGUUGUGCUAUUCAUCUAUAUGGACUUUGGAUUACUAAAUCCAGGUUCUAUGGUUCUAGUAUCUGCUGCACUUUUGCUGCUUGGCUAUGCAUUGUUUAUUGCCACUGAUAAGACAAGAAAAAUCUCAGCUAAACAAGACAUUCAAGUGAUGCUCAUCUUUUUGACCUUUGCACUUGGCUUGUCUCCCGUUCUUCAGACACUAACUGAAACUAUUAGUACAGACACAAUUUAUGCUAUGACAGUGUUUAUGUUGCUAGGCAAUGUACUAUUUCAUGAUUAUGGUGUUAGUCAGGCAAUAUCAUCAAGAUCACUUUCACUGAAUGCUUCAGUAUUUGCAUCAGUAUGCCUAGCUUCUAGGUUGCCAACAAGUCUCCAUGCCUUUGCCACUGUUACCUUAGCACUCCUGGUCUUUGCACUUUGGCCUGUCCUACGUAAAACAUUGAAGAAUAGCAAUGUCCAUAGUGCACAUGCAGUCAUGACUUUGUUUAGUGUUACCAUAGCAACAAUAGCUUUGUAUUCUGUGAGCCCCAUGGCAGCCAUUUUGUUUUCGCUAAUAUCAUUUGCUAUCACAUUCCUGGUUCCAUUUUGGCUGAUAAGACUUCAGCCUUCGAAAAAUAAUAUACAUGGUCCUUGGGACGAAGCAGUUAUCCAGAAUUGAAUCAACUCAUACUUAGCUGUGUUCAAUGAUGACAGCUUCAUCAUCCACUAUGGGUUUGAAAACAGUGAAGCCUCAUUGCUGAUAAAGGGCGGAUGAGCUCCUCAGAGUCAAAGGCCAGCCAUUAAUUUUAGGAAUAGGAGUAGCUUAGCCUUAUUGUUAUUAUGAUUAUUAUUUUUUAUUGUUAUUUUGUUGUUAUUUGUAUUUGUUCGGUUGGCCUAUAUUAUAUCUGUGUAAAGCACAUCUGGGGCAAUUGCAAUAUGUGACCCAAGCUCACAAACAGGCUGUAAACUCGCACUGCACUGUAUUGAGAAACAAGCCUCAAUACCCAGAAUAAUGCGUAGAAUGUGAAUUUUUUGUGAAUUGGGUUUUUGUGUAAUAAAUAAAGUAUAACUAUUAAUCUUAAUAUUCCUGAAUUUUGAGUUUAAAAUUCCAACUGUAAGAGGUAAAAUUUAGCCAUUUUCGGAUGGGAGCUAAUGAAAAAUGAAUAGAAACCUGCUGAAAAUAAAAGCA